CCUACGGGAUGCAGCAGUGAGGAAUAUUGGUCAAUGGGCGCGAGCCUGAACCAGCCAAGUAGCGUGAGGGAUGACUGCCCUAUGGGUUGUAAACUUCUUUUAUAUGGGAAUAAAAUGUUCCACGUGUGGGAUUUUGUAUGUACCAUAUGAAUAAGGAUCGGCUAACUCCGUGCCAGCAGCCGCGGUAAUACGGAGGAUCCGAGCGUUAUCCGGAUUUAUUGGGUUUAAAGGGAGCGUAGGUGGAUUGUUAAGUCAGUUGUGAAAGUUUGCGGCUCAACCGUAAAAUUGCAGUUGAAACUGGCAGUCUUGAGUACAGUAGAGGUGAAAUGCAUAGAUAUCACGCAGAACCCCGAUUGCGAAGGCAGCCUGCCGGGGCCCGACUGACGCUGAGGCACGAAAGUGCGGGGAUCGAACAGGAUUAGAUACCCUAGUAGUC
rnacentral:rRNA from 1 species